CGGGGAGCACCACAACGAGGUGGAGCCUGCGGUUUAAUCGGACUCAACGCCGGGAAACUCACCAGAUAAGACAGCUGAAUGAUAGUCGGGCUGAAGACUCUACCUGACUAGCUGAGAGGAGGUGCAUGGCCGUCGUCAGUUCGUACUGUGAAGCAUCCUGUUAAGUCAGGCAACGAGCGAGACCCACGCCAACAGUUGCCAGCUCGUCCUCCGGGAUGGUGGGGACACUGUUGGGACCGCCUCUGCUAAAGAGGAGGAAGGAAUGGGCAACGGUAGGUCAGCAUGCCCCGAAUUAUCUGGGCUACACGCGGGCUACAAUGGGUGGGACAAUGGGUAUCGACACCGAAAGGUGAAGGCAAUCUCCUAAACCCAUCCGUAGUUCGGAUUGUGGGCUGCAACUCGCCCACAUGAAGCUGGAAUCUGUAGUAAUCGUGUCUCAAAAUGGCACGGUGAAUAUGUCCCUGCUCCUU
rnacentral:rRNA from 1 species